AGACAGUGUUGGGCCCCCAUCCUUCUGAGCCACAAAGGGAGUUCCACAGACAUCAACAUUUAAUAUAGCACAGCUAUCUUACUGCACAUGGCUUCUGCCAAUAUUUUCUAUUCGUCUAUGGCUUGUCUUUUUAUUCUUUUGACAGUGUCUCCUGCUGAACAGAAAUCUUUAAUUUUAAUGAAGUUCAGCUUAUCACUUUUUUUUUCAUGGAUCAUGUCUUUCAUUUUGUAUCUAAAAACUCAUUAUCAAACCCAAGGUCACCUAGAUUUUCUCCUUCCCCAGAGAGGCUGCUUUCCAACCUGGAAUGAUUUCUGGGUCACAGUAGGUUGCAUUUCUGUCAGUGCAGCCCUGUUGGCUCAGCUCUCUGCUUCCAUCUGUGGUAUCUCAGUGCCUGCAGGUUGGCAUCCCCACAAUACUGUUCCUAUGUGCUUUUAAUGCCUCCAAAGAAAACUUCUUUGAACUACCACGUCAUCUUUCCAGUUCCCCCAGUUCCUUCCUGUUGUGCACAGAACCCUCAGUUGUUCAUCUUGGGCUCACCAUGAGCUUCAGUCAUCUCAGUCAUAAUCACGGCCCUAAAACAAGCAUAAAAUCUCUCUGGAAAAGCCAAGCUGCUCCUGGGAUAAAACUUUCCAAGGUUUCAUCAAAAGAAACCCUUCUGUGAACAAGAAUUUAAUGGGCAAGAUCAGAAGACACAAGAAAGUCAACAGUUACAUAUGAAGAGUACACAUAGAAGAUCCAGUAAUAGAUAUUAAUUUUUAUACCAAAUUUGACGCACCUCCAAGCAUAAAUAUACCAGCAGGAUUCUAUUGAAUUUUGAAGGUUAAAAGAAGGUCACAAACACACAAAUACCACAACAACUGGUACAUCUCUGCAUGUAUUCAGAUAUUCAAAACUAAAAAGCUUCAAUAUUUGUUCCAGAGUGAAUGUUUAUUACUCACAAACAUGACUUUCAGUCUCUUUUUUGAUGCCUAUACUCAAUAAGAAUUGCACUUCACACAACAACCAGUAUAGACACUUACAAAGAGAAACAGAAGUUUCAAGGACAGUUCUUACUAUAUGUAAACUAUACCAAAUAUAAAAUUUACCAUCAUAUUUUCUAUUCUAUCGUAUUUUAAAACAUUUUCCAACUCAUUAAUUAUUGAUCAUGAAUUUCAACUUCCUAAACUGUUAGUGGGAAUAUAAAUUGCUACAACCACUAUGGAAACAGCAUAGAGAUUCCUCAUAAAACUAAAUAUAGAACUACUAUAUGAUCCAUCAAUUCAA